rnacentral:misc_RNA from 1 species
UAAUUAGAUCCUUGUUACGAAACCUUUCAAUGUCUACUAUCGGAACUGAUUGGUCCAGUGGCAUUUAAAUACGAAUUUAAUUUAAAUACAGAAAUAUUGCGCAUCAAUAAGCUUUAUCUCGCGCGCGCGAAAAACGAAUCGAUAGUACCGCAUCAGCUGUUUUACUUCCCCCACCAAGGAUAUACCCUUAUGGUCACUACCUGUGUCUUCACGGCCAUAUUGGGCAUGUACGUGUAGGAGGAACAAAGAUGCUCCAUGAUAAAUGAGACUUUCCUGAAGUUCCCGAGACAGACGUGCUUGGCUACAAUACGCAGCCUGCGAAUCGUAAGAAACAGACCACAAAGCAUGGCAUGGCACUGCAAUGGCACGACGAAUCAAGAGAUGGUGACGAAGUUGAAAGAUUAUACACAGAUGCUGGUAUAUUGGCAACGGACAGAGCAGAAGCUGCCAUGUUGGCUGUUGACAGAGCAAAAUAUUGCCACGAAUCAGAUCCUUACCUUGAUCGUCCAAGGAGGAUUGGUUAUAAUGUAACAAUCAGCGCACCGCAUAUGCAUGCGUACGCGUUGUCAAUUCUCUCCGAUCAACUCGUCGACGGCGCCAAGGCACUAGACGUCGGUUCGGGCUCCGGCUACCUGUCCGCCUGCAUGGCGUUCAUGGUGGGCUCGCGCGGACGCGUGAUAGGUAUCGAGCACAUUCCCGAGCUCAUAGAGAUCUCCACUAGGAACGUGCGCGAGGAUUGUCCACAUUUCCUCAAGGAAGGACGCAUCAGAUUUGUCGUGGGAGACGGCAGAUUGGGAUACACUGAUGAGGCCCCUUACAACGCUAUACACGUUGGAGCAGCGGCCGACACUUUGCCGCAAGAGUUGAUAGACCAACUAGCUCCCGGGGGUCGGCUAAUCUGCCCGGUCGUGGCCAUACAAGGCUUCCAAAGAUUCCAAGAUCUGCUGCAGGUGGAUAAGAGCGCAGACGGCGCGAUCACAAAGAAGAAGCUGAUGCAAGUUUCCUAUGUACCUCUCACGGAUCCCACUACUCAGUUGCGUAACACAAAUGUUUAGGUGUUUAUGUCUCACAUAUAGACACAAAAUCCGAGCAGCCAAUUAAACGAAUUGCGCGCGAAGUCGUCUAUCAACGAUAAUUUCUAUGCCCUAAAUUACUAUUUAAGGAUCUCUAUAUUCCAAAUUAGUUUUCCCUCUUUUUCUUCUUCACGUGUGCAAUAUUGAAAUAAUAAAAUAGACUUCUCGUUUUUGGGAUUGAAUUAUACUAAUAAAUUAUAUUUUACAUAUGCCUUACAUUAAUCGUUGUAUCCAGUUGUUUCCAGUUAUAUUAAAUCUAACGAAUUAUACGAUUGUCACAAUUAUGUCUCAUUCAACGUCUCACGCAAUUCGUUCAUCGCUAUUUAUUCUUGUAAAAUCUUAAAUUUUUUACAGCGAGGAUGUCUCCACCAAUUUAUUUUACAAAUACCCUAAUCCCGAAGCAUUAAACUCUCAAUAUUCAUGCAAAUCUUCCUACAUUAAAGGAGAAUUGUAAUGAAGAAAAUUAACAAUAGGAAAAUAAACUUUUUUAACAACGAGGAGACUAAAUCACAUUCGAAGAAGAAGAACACUAUAAGAGUCGAAUAGUCCGUCAAAUGAGACCGGAAGUUGAUUAUUCGCAAACCAUGUCAAUCGUCUAACGUAAUUCCGUUAAAUGUCAUUAUCUCAGUGUCGAAUAAAGUUACGCGAAUAACAAAUUGGAACAACCAUACGGUGUUCACCGGAUCAAAUGAAUCUUCCUCGUCGUAUCUUUUCAAAUGCGAUACGAGUUCGCGCGCAGAAGUUUGAUGUAAAAGUCGUACGCUCGAUUGGUCAACGACUCUCGAUGAUCUCGCAAUCCGCGGAUGCGAUCCACUUGAUGCUUUAUAGACGUCACAGGUCACUAGAAUGUUUCUGACCGUCUAAUGGCUCACAUUCGCGUCGACCUGGUGGAAUUGCAACGAGAUUCUCGCGAAAUUGUCAGUGCUUAUAGUAAUAGAAAGUAAUUGAGGUAUAUUUAGCUGCUGUACUUUAAAUCUAUAUUAAACGGGAAAAAGAAGAGGAAGAGUAGUUCGCUGGCAGAGCGACGGUAAUCGUACUACGUCGUUGUUGGGCGUUCCGAUAUAUCUUCAAAGCGUGCGGUA